rnacentral:rRNA from 1 species
GAUGAACGCUGGCGGCGUACUUAACACAUGCCAGUCGAACGGUGAACACGGAGCUUGCUCUGUGGGAUCAGUGGCGAACGGGUGAGUAACACGUGAGCAACCUGCCCCUGACUCUGGGAUAAGCGCUGGAAACGGCGUCUAAUACUGGAUAUGUGACGUGACCGCAUGGUCUGCGUUUGGAAAGAUUUUUCGGUUGGGGAUGGGCUCGCGGCCUAUCAGCUUGUUGGUGAGGUAAUGGCUCACCAAGGCGUCGACGGGUAGCCGGCCUGAGAGGGUGACCGGCCACACUGGGACUGAGACACGGCCCAGACUCCUACGGGAGGCAGCAGUGGGGAAUAUUGCACAAUGGGCGCAAGCCUGAUGCAGCAACGCCGCGUGAGGGAUGACGGCCUUCGGGUUGUAAACCUCUUUUAGCAGGGAAGAAGCGAAAGUGACGGUACCUGCAGAAAAAGCGCCGGCUAACUACGUG